rnacentral:rRNA from 1 species
UACGGAGGGGGCUAGCGUUGUUCGGAAUUACUGGGCGUAAAGCGCGCGUAGGCGGCUUUGUAAGUUAGAGGUGAAAGCCCAGGGCUCAACCCUGGAAUUGCCUUUAAGACUGCAUCGCUUGAACAUCGGAGAGGUAAGUGGAAUUCCGAGUGUAGAGGUGAAAUUCGUAGAUACUCGGAAGAACACCAGUGGCGAAGGCGACUUACUGGACGAUUGUUGACGCUGAGGUGCGAAAGCGUGGGGAGCAAACAGG